GCUGGAAUUGCUAGUAAUGGCAGGUCAGCAUACUGCCGUGAAUACGUUCCCGGGCCUUGUACACACCGCCCGUCACACCACGAGAGUUGGAAAUACCCGAAGCCUGUGAGCUAACUUAAAGAGGCAGCAGUCGAAGGUAGAGCCAAUGAUUGGGGUGAAGUCGUAACAAGGUACC
rnacentral:rRNA from 1 species